rnacentral:rRNA from 1 species
GAUGAACGCUGGCGGCGUGCCUAAUACAUGCAAGUCGAGCGAACAGACGAGGAGCUUGCUCCUCUGACGUUAGCGGCGGACGGGUGAGUAACACGUGGAUAACCUACCUAUAAGACUGGGAUAACUUCGGGAAACCGGAGCUAAUACCGGAUAAUAUAUUGAACCGCAUGGUUCAAUAGUGAAAGACGGUUUUGCUGUCACUUAUAGAUGGAUCCGCGCCGCAUUAGCUAGUUGGUAAGGUAACGGCUUACCAAGGCAACGAUGCGUAGCCGACCUGAGAGGGGGAACCGCCCCACUGGAACUGAGGCACGGUCCAGACUCCUACGGGAGGCAGGCGUAGGGAAUCUUCCGCAAUGGGCGAAAGCCUGACGGAGCAACGCCGCGUGAGUGAUGAAGGUCUUCGGAUCGUAAAACUCUGUUAUUAGGGAGGAACAAAUGUGUAAGUAACUAUGCACGUCUUGACGGUACCUAAUCAGAAAGCCACGGCUAACUACGUG